ACAUGUUUUAUAAGAUUCUCCAUGGCUUCAAAGACCAAGUUGGGGAGGAAAACUGGCAGCAGUUCUCAGAGCAGUUCCCGCCGCUGCUCAAGGAGAGGUUGGCUGCCUUCUACGGGUCUAGAGGAGCAGUGAGACUGCCGGUUUCUGUCUGCGUCGUCAUCAGAGGGGUGGCUGGGGAGCACACCGCGUCCAGAAGUUGCUGUGCCCUGGUCGAGGGGGGUUAGGGAGGAGUGAGUGGGACCCAAAUCCAGAUGCCUUCCCUGCGCAUCUACCUGCCAUGCCUGGCCGGUGUGGCCAGCCAGUGGUGGGCGGGUGGGUGGGGCGUCCACGCUCACCCUACAAAUGGGAGGGGGGUGGGACUUCUUGGCAGCAAGGGCCCCUUUCUCUAAGUAAGGUCACCAUAGGCAGCCCACAGGGCCAGCCACGUGGGAGGGAAGAAUCAGUACGGCCGACUGAAUCCAGCUUAGGAUGAGGCAGGGGAAAGCAAGCGGGGAGGGGGGGUCCCUGUAGAGAUGCGUACACACACGUACACACGUGGCUACACGCAUGUGUGGGCGCUGCAGCCAGCUAGCCUUGGUCAGCUGCCCCACCAUUUCCCUGACUGCAUGGAGACAGUAGAAUUAGUGAACCCGAGUUAACCCAUGAGGCCUUCCGUGUAACCUGCAUCUAGAGUUUAAGACGCUUCAGCCGUGUUACCAGAAUUGAUGAUGAUUGGGGAGGGCUGGGUGGGUUGGGGUCCUUUGCUGGGAACUCCGGGCAGGAUAAGACGAUGGUCACCUUGGGGCUGCCCUGUCAGCAAACACACACUUUGGACCUGCUCAGCGCACUUCCUGCCAGCUCUAUGGCAGCCGCAGCCACCCUGUCCCUCUCCUUGUCUCAUCCCAGUCAGAAUAGAGAGGGGACCACUGAGUGUGGCCAGGGCUGGCCAAAGGUCUCCCUUUUCCCUCCCUUGUGCUCCAGUGACAUGAACACACUGGGCUGGGGCCUUUUUCUGGAAGAGAGCGUCAGUGGCCAGAGCUGCUGACCUCUCCCCCUGCCUCUCUACAUAAGCAGGUCCAUUUAAAGGGCAAUCUAUUUCUCUGCUCCUGAGAGCACUCAAGUUCCAGGCCCAAGUUUUUAAAAUAAGGGCUGGGCAUUUAAUUGAUGUUGAUGAGACAAAAGCUUAUGCUUUACCAGC